rnacentral:lncRNA from 1 species
CACAACCUGUUCCUGUGUAUUGGUGAGAAAGUUAAAUCAAACUCGGGACAGCAUUGCCAUGCCACAGGCAUAAGGACUGGGGGAGCAAUUGACUUUUACCAUUGAAUCGAAAUUUCAGCAGCUUUUGGGCUACUCGCCAUCUAAAGGCAACAGAACCUUUUUCCUUGCAAACAGAAUUCAGAUCCCAACACCAGAUUGCCACUUUGCUCUCCUCUCUUCCUCUUGAAUUUUCCCUGUUAAUUCCCAGAGGAAUAUCCUGGCUGUCAGCCCAUGGCACAUCUUUUUGGACACCAGGAAAAGCUUUUUUUUUUUUUUUUUUUUUUUUUUUAAAGAAUGCUAACUGUGCCCUACUUUGAGCCAGGGAUUAUGUAAGAAGGAGAAAGUAGUGCAAGGGAGAACAAUGCCAUUGAUUGAGGGCUUACUGUUUGUGUGGUAGGCACGGUGUUUAGCACAUGGGAGUCUCAGGAAUCCGAACGAAUGCAAUCAGAUGGACCAAUAGAAACUGAAUCUGGUGAAGAUGACGAGCAUGAAGAUGUUGAUGAUAAUCCACUUCUACUUAAUGAACGAUCGCUUGCUUCAAGGGAAACCAGUGGCUAUCUUGUGAACAACCAUAUGAAGAGGCUUGCCCUGUGAUCCUCACGAGUAGGCUUGACCAUAGGUCUUCAAGCCCUAAUCAAACCUUCAGAUCACGGAAAUUCCAGCCAAGAACUUGAUGGCAACCUUGUGAGGGACCUGGAGCCAUUCAGCUAAACACUUCCAGAUUCCUGACCCUUAAAAACUGCGUGAGAUGAAAAAUUGUUGUUGUAAGCUGCUAAAUUUGAGGUCAUUUGUUACCUAGCAAUAGUAACUCAUAUAGUAAGGAUUUUGGGUUU